GAUGAAGGCCUUCGGGUCGUAAAACUCUGUCCUCAAGGAAGAUAAUGACGGUACUUGAGGAGGAAGCCCCGGCUAACUACGUGCCAGCAGCCGCGGGAAUACGUAGGGGGCUAGCGUUAUCCGGAUUUACUGGGCGUAAAGGGUGCGUAGGCGGUCUUUCAAGUCAGGAGUGAAAGGCUACGGCUCAACCGUAGUAAGCUCUUGAAACUGGGAGACUUGAGUGCAGGAGAGGAGAGUGGAAUUCCUAGUGUAGCGGUGAAAUGCGUAGAUAUUAGGAGGAACACCAGUUGC
rnacentral:rRNA from 1 species